rnacentral:rRNA from 1 species
GAUGAACGCUGGCGGCGUGCCUAAUACAUGCAAGUCGAGCGAACGGACGAGAAGCUUGCUUCUCUGAUGUUAGCGGCGGACGGGUGAGUAACACGUGGAUAACCUACCUAUAAGACUGGGAUAACUUCGGGAAACCGUAGCUAAUACCGGAUAAUCUUUUGAACCGCAUGGUUCAAAAGUGAAAGACGGUCUUGCUGUCACUUAUAGCUGCAUCCGCGCUGCAUUAGCUAGUUGGUAAGGUAACGGCUUACCAAGGCAACGAUGCAUAGCCGACCUGAGGGGGAUCGGCCACACGGGAACGGAGACACGGUCCAGACUCCUACGGGAGGCAGCAGUAGGGAAUCUUCCGCAAUGGGCGAAAGCCUGACGGAGCAACGCCGCGUGAGUGAUGAAGGUCUUCGGAUCGUAAAACUCUGUUAUUAGGGAAGAACAUAUGUGGAAGUAACUGUGCACAUCUUGACGGUACCUAAUCAGAAAGCCACGGCUAACUACGUG